rnacentral:rRNA from 1 species
GACGAACGCUGGCGGCGUGCUUAACACAUGCAAGUCGAACGGAAAGGCCCUGCUUUUGUGGGGUUCUCGAGUGGCGAACGGGUGAGUAACACGUGAGUAACCUGCUCUUGACUUUGGGAUAACUUCAGGAAACUGGGGCUAAUACCUGAUAGGAGCUCCUGCUGCAUGGUGGGGGUUGGAAAGUUUCGGCGGUUGGGGAUGGACUCGCGGCUUAUCAGCUUGUUGGUGGGGUAGUGGCUUACCAAGGCUUUGACGGGUAGCCGGCCUGAGAGGGUGACCGGCAACAUGGGGAGUGAGAUACGGCCCAGACUACUACGGGAGGCAGCAGUGGGGAAUAGUGCACGAUGGGCGGAAGCCUGAUGCAGCAACGCCGCGUGCGGGAUGACGGCCUUCGGGUUGUAAACCGCUUUCGCCUGUGACGAUGCGUGAGUGACGGUACUGGGUAAAGAAGCACCGGCUAACUACGUG